rnacentral:rRNA from 1 species
UACGUAGGGGGCGAGCGUUGUCCGGAUUUAUUGGGCGUAAAGAGCGUGUAGGCGGCCAGGUAGGUCUGCUGUGAAAACUCGAGGCUCAACCUCGAGACGUCGGCGGAACCAUCUGGCGUAGAGUCCGGAAGAGGAGAGUGGAAUUCCUGGUGUAGCGGUGAAAUGCGCAGAUAUCAGGAAGAACACCCGUGGCGAAGGCGGCUCUCUGGGACGGUACUGACGCUGAGACGCGAAAGCGUGGGGAGCGAACAGG